CACGGCUCCGGCCAUCGCCGGCCGCCUGCAGUGCCGCCAAUCACCGGCGAGGCUCAGCCUCCUCAUGCUCUACCUCUCCAUCUUUUCGAUUGGGUCCUCGAGGCCUCGCUCGGACGACCUCGUGUUGAUCCCCUCAUGACUGCACGGCCGCGUGGCCUAGCUCCGGCUGAUUCCGGCCAUUGCCGGGUAUCUCCGGCGCUGCCCUGUACCGGCGAGGCUACUCCCCCAUCUCUCCCACGGCUCCCCUUCACCUUUACUUGUUCCUGUGCUCGCGCGCGUAAUCUGGAUAACCCUAGCCCCUGCUGUUUCGGCGGUUGCCGGCCGACACCGGCGCUGCCGCGUCCACGCGACACAGGUCAACCUCCGCCUUCUCCUCUCUACCGUGCCGCCGCCACUCGCACCCACGCCCCUGGUUAACCCUAGCCAUGGAAUUGGUUUGGUGGCUGGCGCGAUGCCGAUGUGAUGUUACUGGUGUACUGAUUGUGAGGCCGUGCUGGUGAUGUGGUGCGGCAAUGAUGCCGUGGUGGUGAUGCCGCUGGUGUAUCGUGUGUCGACCACCGUAUCAACGCCGGCAAGAUGGCGCCGCGGAUGCAACCCUGGCGUCCACGAUCUCGUUUCCUCCACUGCAGCAAUCUAGUGCAGAUGUUUACUAGCUGAGCUGCUGAUGCGUUGAUGUGCUCAAAGGGUUGCUGGUAGUGAAUAUAGUGUGAGGUAUGAACCAAACGGUUUGGCUAGCUGUGUGGCCUGGCUUUUAUACUGUUGGGCAUUUGUUGUGAUAUCGACAACACAUACUUGCAUGUAGUGACUAAGCUGCCUGCGUGGUCUCUUUGAAGUGCAAGCAGUCAAACUGGUUUGCUUUGCCUCCUAGUGUAAGGCAUACGGCUGGUUUGCUCUUAUCCAUUGUAGAUAUUUAUUUUGAUGCAGCCAAGUGGUACUUGAUUAAGUGUGGAUUUACUUUGUUGCCUUUUGCAUGGAAAGAAAGAUCAAUAGAAGAUGGAGAAGAUUUCGAUUUAGGAAUUCUUUUAUUUCCUUGUAAUCUUAUAUUACUUUUGUAACUUGUAACUUUGUUUCUCUUUAUGAGAAUUGUAAAUGACUGGGAUAAUGAUAUUUGUAAUAAGGUUUAAAUUAUUUAUCUA